rnacentral:snoRNA from 1 species
GCUGUGAUGUUUUCUCAGAAUCUGACCCGAUUUGAUGUGCAUUUCUUCACCAGACAGCAACUGA